CAUCUCUUUCAUCUUUUUCUCUCUCAAGCCGCCCAGAACAAAUACUUUCUGUCUUGCUCAAUGUCUUCAUUGGAUCCGGCCACACCUCCGGCACACGUAUAUAUGCACAAGUAUUUGUAUAAAUCUUGUGGAUUUACCACUAGAAUUGAAUUAUCUAGUUCUCAGUUGGUUUCUACACUUCUGCUUUGACCAAAUCGGUGAAUUUGAUUCGAAAUAGAAACCCUUUCAGCUCAAAUCAAUUAAUCACGGGCAACUCAACUUAGUAGUUUCUCUUCCAAGUUUUCUGUAUUUCUUUCUUUCCAUUCAUUUAUACAUAAUUUAUGUGCUUCAUUGUUUUAUCGUACUAUUAGGUUCUCUGAACAUGUAAAUUGCAGUGUCCUAUGCUAUACUAGAGUUUUGUGGGUUGCUUGAGUUGGCUCACUGUUUGAAUUUGUUAUUGGAUGUUUUAUUCUAUUCAUAUGCUUAGUGAAUUAACCCAGUUAACUGUUGUGGAAUUGCUUGGUUUUUGUUGCAAUUUGAAUGCAUUCCACUGGAAUGUAACAUAGAGAAACGAGUGCUACUUUUCAAGUAUGUUUUAGGAAAUUAUGUCUUUUUUUAAAGGUGAUUUUAGUGUCUUUUUAAAAAUUUGUGCUCAAUUAUUUGCUUGUGGUGCAAUAAAUACACGAUGGCACAAAAUCAAUGAACAAUCAGCCAAAGCACACAGAGAACCUGUGGUCUUACGUUGCUCCAUAAAAUACUAUGAUUACAGGGGACAGGGGGAUCAACAAUCAACUAUGAAAAAUAAAGUGUACCAAAUGUGGGUUUUUUGUAACGAAGUUGAUAAUAAAUGCUAUUAAGGAGAUAUAUCUCACACAACAAUAUAGACCUGGAGGGAUGAAUGGGAGGAAGGAGGAGAAGCAGACAAUUCUAAGGGAUUACAGGGGAAGCCAGGAAGAUCCAAGUGCCAUGCCAGGAAUUUUAGGCUAUUUAGUAUGUUUGGUUAAGGACUUGGUUAAUGCCAAAUGGUGCGUUCUUUCUGUGGGUAUUAACCGAAGUCUAUGAGAUUAGGUCAUCACCACCUCAGUCUUCUUUUUACUGGCCAUUCGACCAAAUCCUCUCCUUCCAUCAGUGUUUAUGGCAGAGUUAUUAAAUGGCUCCUGCUAGUCAUUAAAUAGCGAUGGCCAUACAUUAAAUGUUGGGGGCUGGUCAUUUAAUGUGCUCGGCCUUAGCUAAGGUUUUCACCAACAUGACGGUUGACGCAUGAUCAUCCAUCCCUUAGAUUGGGUCAAGUAUCUGUGUGCUUUGACGAACUCUGUUUUCUCAUCCUCCAAUCCAAGAUCCUCCAAGCCUCUCAGAUGAUUUUGAAGAGGCUGACACUCUUAACUCAAAGGUUUGUCCACCGUAGAAACUGUUCAGGUUUCGAGUGGCUCGAGGCUUAUCAGUGGGAAAGAGGUUCUUGAGCAUUUUAGAUGACUUGAGGCUUAUCUAUGAGGAAGAGGUCCUUGAGUAUUUUGGGUGACUCGAGACUUAUUUGUGGAAAAGAGAUUCUCGAGUUUUGAAGUUAAUUUGUGGAGAAGAUAUCCCUGAGUCUAAGGCUUAUUUGUACGGAAGAGGUCCUUCAGCCUCAUCCGCUCGAAGUUUAUUUUCAUGAAAGAGCUCCUUGAGCUUGCAUCCUGCCAUCCUUUGAGGCUUAUCUGUGAGAAAGAAAACCUCGGUUUAUAUGUGGGGAAGAGUUCGUUCGUAUCUAUCGAGAUCUAUCUGUUGGAAAGAACUACUCGAAGUGGGUUGAGGAUUAUCUAUAGGGAAGAUUCCUUGAUGUUGUGGCCUUUUGACUAUUUUGACUUUUCAUUUGCUUGUGUGGCAUGUGCCAAGUUGGCAGCACCUGGGGUACACCUACAAUAAUAACACGAAAUCAUUGAACUCAUACUUAUGUUACAUCACAAACUUCUCUUUGUCUCUUUCUGAUUUUUCUUUUGGCCUAAGAGGUUAUAUAUGACCAAUACGGUUAAUUUUACAAUAGACUAGUCUUGCAUUGACUCUGAAGAAAUUUGAUCAAUCCAUUUGGUGUUCAGUGGACAAUGCUUAACUAGUUGGUCCGUCUUUCCAUUAGUGGAGCACUUAUUGGUGCUGCCUCGAUCAAUCGGGCUGUUGCUUUGAAUGGUUAAUAACUUCUUGGAUGGUCCUCGACUAAUCAGGUUUAACAAUGACGAACAGUUUCAAACAAGAACCUCUGCUUCAGGAAACUCCCUUUCUGGUGUCCCAACCAAAUACAAGACAAUUAUGCCUUGAUUUCUAUAUACAUAAGCCACCUUGAAAAUUAUGUUGUCAUCUCCUACUGUUAGCCCCUUGACGGUACCUACCAUGGUGCGAUUACACAUGGCAUUUCUUUACAUCCUAUUUGCUGGUAGGAGUGUGUCACAAUUCUUCACAAUUGCUAAAAUGAAUUUUAAGUCCAAGCAAUUUAAGUUUCUACCGGAAUUGGCUUCAUUAACAUAAAAGUCAUAUUCCAAAGGGAAAGUUUGAUGGUAGUAUCUCUCCUAAAGGUGUUAACUCUACUAAUCAAAAUUCAUAUAAAAAAUAGUCAAAUUAAAUGCUAAUUUAGUUGAUCCUACAUCUCACUUCCAUUUAAGGAGCAAUGACAUAAUCUUUGAACUAAUAUAUAAGGCAAAAAAUCAUAGCUAUACAAGGUAAUGAUAUACUGGAAUUCGCUAAUAUUGUUGAAAAUUUAAUAUUCUUUGACCUUGUCAUCUACCUUGUAUAGCUACAAACAGGUUGAUAGAUUGCAGCAUAUGCCACGAAGAACCCCGAUCCUCUUCGGUACAAUUUUUUGUACUGUACUUUACUGUGAAUAUGUAACAUCAUUACAUCGAAAAUGCAACACCAUUAAAUCGAGCAUGCAACAACAACGUAAAGUGUUGCAUUCUCAAAGGAAAGUGGUUGCAGUGUUGAUAUGUUGCAUCUUCGAAGUAAAUGUGUUGCAUCUCGAUGUAAUGGUGUUGCAUAUGCACUUGAAAGUACCGUGUACUAGAAGGAUCCUGAUUCAUCCCAUGAAUGAUGGCUGCAUUUUUGCAGCUGUUACACUACUAUAACGUAUAAGCACAACAAUAAUAUAUAUACACACAGGGUUAAUUGCAAAAAAUUGAGAGAGAGAGAGAGACAGCAAGGAGAAUGGAGUUGAAGAGAAUAAGGAGAGAAGAGGGAAUGGAUAAGGGAAUUUUCAUCUGAGGUUGUCCUUCUUAUAUUUUGUUCUUUGCCUAGUUUAGAUCUAGGUACAGAACAAAAAAAGGAAAAGAUUAAAAUCAUACCAGUUAGUCUUGAGUACAGAAAGCUUAGAUUGUAAAUCUAAGGACGAAUCUCAAGUUUUUGGUGUUUAAACUUGUAUAUCUGAAGGUUGGAGGGCAGAAAUGAGCAAGAAGGGGAGAACACUGGCUACUUAAGCCAGCUGCCAAAAACUACACCUUUGACUGGUGUCUUGGUUGAGUGAGCAUGAGACUUCUGCGGUUUUUUGUUCACCUGAGAUCUUGACUUGACUAUUACUUGGUUGAGUUGGCCGAGUCGAAAAAAAGGUGGUUGUGCCUAGUAAAUUCACACUUCUCUUUCUUGAUGUUAAGGUGUCGAUGUGUUAAAAGUGAUUUAUUUGUGAGAAGGUGGAGGUUGCACAAGUUAAGUUUAAAAUCCAAGGGGGCCUUUUAAGUUGGUUUGGUCAUGUGCAACGAGUGGGUAUAUUGUGAUUUAGAUGAAAGAUUAUCAAUGGAAUGCACAAAAGAAAAUGGGUCAAAGUGGAAUGCGAAAAAGGAUAUGGAUCGAGGCAAGUAAGAACAUACUUGAUGGCCUAUUAUCUUAUGAUAUCAUCCUCUCUCAGAUGGUGGAUACUGCUGAUUUUUCAGAUCUUUCUAGACCUGAUGUCUUUUCUUUUCAAGCGCAAUAAGAUGGAUUCUUAGAGUAUAACCUGUUGGGCACAUCUUUUCCUAUAUUUCCUACCCCAAAAUCACUUUGUAUAACUUUUAAGUCAUAUCAUUUUUAUUCUUUCAUACAAAGUCAAUGGACAAUGCUGAUAGAUGCUUGCUAAAACUGUAGCAGCAUUCCUAUUCCUAAUCUAAAAUGGGUUAUUUUAAAUGUUAAAAAACAUGAGGUCUCAGUUACAACUUACAUUGGUAUGUUAAUGCUUUUGAAAUUUCAUAUAUGAGACAGUAAUCCCUAAAAGGGGGGAACCCUAUUAAAGAAAGAAAAUCUUCCUACCCAGGAGUUGAGGUAGAUGAUAAGCGCACCAGCGGAUUCUCGUCAGUUGUCACUUUAUUCCUUCUCAAUCUGGUAGUACUCUUUCUACCACGCAGGCUUUCAGAAGCUACUGCUACUGGAUGGGGAAUGAAUCAAGCACACGAGAUUUAGCCAUUAUUAGAUGCAGGCGCUUUCUUAGUACGGGAUUCUAUUGCAAUGAUAACUUAAUAUGCGACUGUUAACUUCUAUAUCUUAGUCCAGUUGAUCUUGUAGUAAAUUUGCCAUUAUCCUUCCCCUGAUUGAGGAGAUUCCUGUGUGUGGCUCGUGAUGUUAACAGAAGUUAUUUACCCACCAAUAAGAAAAAAAAUAAAAAUUUAAUGACCGUAUUUUUUUGUUCUAGAGGUUAAUAUUUGAGUUCAUUUUUUAUACCUUUGCAGAGGUAUGACAUUCCUUGAUGUCCUAGUUAUCAUCUCUGGUUAUAGUGACACCAAAUUUUGCGAUCAUGUACCAAAUUUGUUCAAUCAAUUGGUGUCAACAAAUUUAUCUUGUUGAAAUGAGUAAUUUUUUCCAUUAGUUGAGGUCCUCAUAAUUUUUUAUUGUAGAGUCCUGAGUUAAUGUAAAUGUAUUAGAAAUUCAGAAUUUAUAAAGUGCCACAGGCUGCUUUGUUGAGCUUGUAUUACUUUAUAUAACUACCAUGGGUGGUACAGAUUAUCUAUGCAUGCAGAUGGAACCUACAGAAGGGAAGAUGGACCAUGAAUCUGAUGAGGAGAUCCUUUUAGCUCAGCAAAAACCAGAAAUGAAAUGCAUAGCUCUGACUUUGAGACAUCUCAUAUUGGUUCCUUUGCAAACAUGACCAACUUAUGGGUCUUUAAGCAGAUGGUGAUCAGAACUGCCAGGAGAAAGCAUGUAAGAAGUUUAUCUCUCAGUCCUCAUUUUCCUAUUUGCAUCUAUCUGGAAAAGAAUGUCGCGGAAAGGAAACAGUAGAGGGGAUAUAUUGGUGAGCAAAUGACAUUUUGUAUGAUUAUGUGGCAAGUGGCUUGAUGUUCACAAAUCAUAUCACUUAACUUUGUUCAAGCCUCAUUUAUUCGUGAUGCCUCUGUUCUUGGGUUUUAAUCCUUUGAAUGUACUUCUCAUAUCAUAGGGUUGGGUCUUC